AUUGAACGCUGGCGGCAGGCCUAACACAUGCAAGUCGAGCGGAGCGGCGGACGGGGGAGGAAUGCCUAGGAAUCUGACUGGUAGUGGGGGAUAACGUCCGGUAACGGGCGCAAAUACUGCAUACUAUCAGAUGAGCCUAGGCCGGAUUAGCUAGUUGGUGGGGUAAAGGCCUACCAAGGCGACGAUCCGUAACUGGUCUGGGAGGAUGAUCAGCCACACUGGAACUGAGACACGGUCCAGACUCCUACGGGAGGAAGCAGUGGGGAAUAUUGGACAAUGGGCGAAAGCCUGAUCCAGCCAUGCCGCGUGUGUGAAGAAGGUCUUCGGAUUGUAAAGCACUUUAAGUUGGGAGGCGUUACCCGCAGAAUAAGCACCGGCUAACUUCGUGCCAGCAGCCGCGGUAAUUC
rnacentral:rRNA from 1 species